rnacentral:misc_RNA from 1 species
AUCCAAAAAGCUUUUUGCAGAGUGAAGAGGUAUUCUUUUUGCGCACAAUUGGAGUUUCUUGUGAAAUAUUUGUGUCGAAAUGUAGAAUUACUUGUGAUUUGUGCUGAUUUUUCAAUCUUUAGUAUUUGAUAUAAUCUCUUUUACAUUUCCUCUACAAUAUGACUCAAGGAACAUGAAGAUCAGUUAAUAACGGUGUAUCAUUUAUAAAUCGCUUACAUGCCGCCAAAUCAGAUGAGUGUCAGGCAUGUGCAC